rnacentral:snoRNA from 1 species
UGAUGAUGAUGAGGGAAAUUUUUUAGUAUACCCUUAAAUCUCUCCCAAGCUUGGUAAAGAUUCUCUCUGUCUUUCAAUCUAAAACUCAAGAUCUUACUCCUUAAGCG